GAUGAACGCUGGCGGCGUGCCUAAUACAUGCAAGUCGAGCGAACGGACGAGAAGCUUGCUUUUCUGAUGUUAGCGGCGGACGGGUGAGUAACACGUGGAUAACCUACCUAUAAGACUGGGAUAACUUCGGGAAACCGGAGCUAAUACCGGAUAAUAUUUUGAACCGCAUGGUUCAAAAGUGAAAGACGGUCUUGCUGUCACUUAUAGAUGGAUCCGCGGUGCAUUAGCUAGUUGGUAAGGUAACGGCUUACCAAGGCAACAAUGCAUAGCCGACCUGAGAGGGUGAUCGGCCACACUGGAACUGAGACACGGUCCAGACUCCUACGGGAGGCAGCAGUAGGGAAUCUUCCGCAAUGGGCGAAAGCCUGACGGAGCAACGCCGCGUGAGUGAUGAAGGUCUUCGGAUCGUAAAACUCUGUUAUUAGGGAAGAACAUAUGUGUAAGUAACUGUGCACAUCUUGACGGUACCUAAUCAGAAAGCCACGGCUAACUACGUG
rnacentral:rRNA from 1 species